rnacentral:lncRNA from 1 species
AUCCAGGUUUUCUAUUUCUUCUUCUGGUAAACUGUGCUACUAGGAAUUUGUCUCCUUUUUUCUUCUUCAUUUUUUUUUUUUUUUUUUUUUUUUUUUUUUGGUGUGUGUGUGUGUGUGUGUGUGUGUGUGUGUGUGUGUGUGUGUGCGCCAGGUAUCGAACUUGGGAUCUUGCACUUGUGAGACAGGUGGCAGAACCAC